rnacentral:rRNA from 1 species
GGUCCGGCUAAUUACGUGCCAGCAGCCGCGGUAAUACGUAAGGACCGAGCGUUGUCCGGAAUCAUUGGGCGUAAAGAGUACGUAGGCGGUAAGAUAAGUUAGAAGUAAAAGGCACCGGCUCAACCGGCGUAAGCUUUUAAAAACUGUUUUACUUGAGACAUUGAGGGGGAAGUGGAAUUUCUAGUGUAGCGGUAAAAUGCGUAGAGAUUAGGAAGAACACCGGUGGCGAAGGCGGCCUUCUGGCUAGCAACUGACGCUGAGGCGCGAAAGCGUGGGGAGCAAACAGGAUUAGAUACCCUGGUAGUCCACGCAGUAAACGAUGAAUACUUGAUGUAGGAGGUAUCGACCCCUUCUGUGUCGAAGUUAACGUAUUAAGUAUUCCACCUGGGGAGUACGACCGCA